rnacentral:rRNA from 1 species
UACGAAGGGGGCUAGCGUUGUUCGGAAUUACUGGGCGUAAAGCGCACGUAGGCGGACUAUUAAGUCAGGGGUGAAAGUCCCGGGGACUCAACCCCGGAACUGCCUUUGAUACUGGUAGUCUCGAGUCCGGAAGAGGUGAGUGGAAUUCCGAGUGUAGAGGUGAAAUUCGUAGAUAUUCGGAGGAACACCAGUGGCGAAGGCGGCUCACUGGUCCGGUACUGACGCUGAGGUGCGAAAGCGUGGGGAGCAAACAGG